UGCCAGCCGCCGCGGUAAUACGGAGGAUCCAAGCGUUAUCCGGAAUCAUUGGGUUUAAAGGGUCCGUAGGCGGCCUUAUAAGUCAGUGGUGAAAUCUCCUAGCUCAACUAGGAAACUGCCAUUGAUACUGUAGGGCUUGAAUUUUUGUGAAGUAACUAGAAUAUGUAGUGUAGCGGUGAAAUGCUUAGAUAUUACAUGGAAUACCAAUUGCGAAGGCAGGUUACUAACAAACGAUUGACGCUGAUGGACGAAAGCGUGGGGAGCGAACAGGAUUAGAUA
rnacentral:rRNA from 1 species